rnacentral:rRNA from 1 species
GAUUAUGGCUCAGGAUGAACGCUAGCUACAGGCUAACACAUGCAAGUCGAGGGGCAGCAUUGGAGUAGCAAUACUUCAGAUGGCGACCGGCGCACGGGUGAGUAACACGUAUCCAACCUGCCGCUUACUCGGGGAUAGCCUUUCGAAAGAAAGAUUAAUACCCGAUGGUAUAAAGAGUUCGCAUGUUCUCUUUAUUAAAGAAUUUCGGUAAGCGAUGGGGAUGCGUUCCAUUAGAUAGUUGGCGGGUAACGGCCCACCAAGUCUACGAUGGAUAGGGGUUCUGAGAGGAAGGUCCCCCACAUUGGAACUGAGACACGGUCCAAACUCCUACGGGAGGCAGCAGUGAGGAAUAUUGGUCAAUGGACGAGAGUCUGAACCAGCCAAGUCGCGUGCAGGAAGAAUGUCCUUAAUGGAUUGUAAACUGUCUUUUGCGAGGGGGAAUAAAGUGCAUCACGUGUGAUGUUUUGUAUGUACUCUGCGAAUAAGGAUCGGCUAACUCUGUGCCAGCCGCAGC